rnacentral:rRNA from 1 species
AGAGUUUGAUCCUGGCUCAGGAUGAACGCUAGCAGAACGCUUAACACAUGCAAGUCGAACGAAUAUAUUGUCUUCGGAUAAUAUAUUAGUGGCAAACGGGCGAGUAACGCGUAUCUAACCUGCCCUUGUGUGAGGCAAAACUAUGGAGACAUAGCUAAUUCCUCAUACGCUCUAAGAAAUGAAAAUACUUAGAGGAAAGAUUUAUCGCACAAGGAGGGGGAUGCGUCCUAUCAGGUAGUUGGUGAGGUAACUGCUCACCAAGCCUAUGACGGGUAGCCGGUCUGAGAGGAUGUCCGGCCGCAAUGGAACUGAGACACGGUCCAUACUCCUACGGGAGGCAGCAGUGGGGAAUAUUGGACAAUGGGCGAAAGCCUGAUCCAGCGAUUCUGCGUGAAGGAUGAAGCCUUGUGGGGUGUAAACUUCUUUUCUGGGAGAAGACGAAUGACGGU